rnacentral:RNase_P_RNA from 1 species
AUAUUUUGACAAACGCUAUAUUUUUAUAAUAUAGAGGAAAGUCCAUGCUCGCACAAUCUGUGAUGGUUGUAGUGUUUGUGUGUAGGGAAAAAAUAACCUACAGUAACAUAAUUUAUGUUAACGGCUCCGAGGAAGUCUAAGUACUUUGUAUAUGACUUUAUUAGGUAUAAAAGUGCCAAAGUGACGAAGUCUUUUAGAAAUAAAAGAAGUGGAACGUGGUAAACCCCGCAAGCGAGAAACCCAAAAUUUGGUAGGGGAGCCUAGAAGCUGGAGAAUCAAGAAUCUGGCUUGGGAUCAAGCAAUUGAUAGAUAAAUGUUUGUCGCCUAGAAAUAGGAACAGAACAUGGCUUAUAAAA